GACGAACCAUGCAAACGUUAUUCGGAUUCACUGGGCUUAAAGCGUGCGUAGGCGGCGGUGUUAGUCAGGUGUGAAAGCCCUCAGCCCAACUGAGGAAUUGCGCUUGAUACUGCAUCGCUAGAGAAUGAUAGAGGUGGGUGGAACUGAUGGUGGAGCGGUGAAAUGCGUUGAUAUCAUCAGGAACACCAGUGGCGAAGGCGACCCACUGGGUCAUUUCUGACGCUGAGGUACGAAAGCUAGGGUAGCGAACGGG
rnacentral:rRNA from 1 species